rnacentral:tRNA from 1 species
GUCCAGGUGGCGGAACUGGUAGACGCGGUAGGUUUAGGACCUACUAGGAUUAUCCUGUGGGAGUUCGAAUCUCCCCCUGGGCA